AGCAAUACGAUAACGAGCUCAAGAUCAUUCGCUUCAUCCGCGAGCGCAGCAAGGAGCUGCUGCGGCAAAUGGGAGUCGAAAGGAUCUGGACUGGUCCCGAGUUGACCGGCGUCGGCAGCUCGCACGAUCUCGGCGGUCUCCGGAUGGGCACCGAUGAGGCGUCGUCGGUCGUUAACGCCGAUCUCAUGGCGCACGAGGUGCCCAACCUCUACGUGAUGAGCGGGGCGACCUUUCCCUCGGUA
rnacentral:misc_RNA from 1 species